rnacentral:rRNA from 1 species
GAUGAACGCUGGCGGCGUGCUUAACACAUUCAAGUCGAACGGGCGACGGGGAGCUUGCUCCCCUGAGCUAGUGGCGGACGGGUGAGUAACGCGUGAGUAACCUGCCUUUCUCUGGGGAAUAACAUCGCGAAAGUGGUGCUAAUACCGCAUAACGUAUUCCGAUCGCAUGUUUGGAAUACCAAAGGAUUUAUUUGGAGAAAGAUGGGCUCGCGUCUGAUUAGGUAGUUGGUGGGGUAACGGCCUACCAAGCCGACGAUCAGUAGCCGGACUGAGAGGUUGAACGGCCACAUUGGAACUGAGAUACGGUCCAGACUCCUACGGGAGGCAGCAGUGGGAAUAUUGGGCAAUGGGCGAAAGCCUGACCCAGCGACGCCGCGUGAAGGAAGAAGGUCUUCGGAUUGUAAACCUCUGUCCCUGAUGACGAAGACAGUGACGGUAAUCAGGGAGGAAGCC